rnacentral:rRNA from 1 species
CCUACGGGACGCAGCAGUGAGGAAUAUUGGUCAAUGGACGGAAGUCUGAACCAGCCAUGCCGCGUGCAGGAAGACGGCUCUAUGAGUUGUAAACCGCUUUUGUAAGAGGGUAAACCUGAAUACGUGUAUUCAGCUGAAAGUACUGUACGAAUAAGGAUCGGCUAACUCCGUGCCAGCAGCCGCGGUAAUACGGAGGAUUCAAGCGUUAUCCGGAUUUAUUGGGUUUAAAGGGUGCGUAGGCGGAUUGAUAAGUUAGAGGUGAAAUGUUCGAGCUUAACUCGGGAACUGCCUCUAAUACUGUUGAUCUAGAGAGUAGAUGCGGUAGGCGGAAUGUAUGGUGUAGCGGUGAAAUGCUUAGAGAUCAUACAGAACACCGAUUGCGAAGGCAGCUUACCAAUCUAUAUCUGACGUUGAGGCACGAAAGCGUGGGGAGCGAACAGGAUUAGAUACCCGAGUAGUC